AAAUUGAAGAGUUUGAUCAUGGCUCAGAUUGAACGCUGGCGGCAGGCCUAACACAUGCAAGUCGAGCGGCAGCGGGAAAGUAGCUUGCUACUUUUGCCGGCGAGCGGCGGACGGGUGAGUAAUGCCUGGG
rnacentral:rRNA from 1 species